rnacentral:lncRNA from 1 species
CGGCAACACGCUCUUUGUUCCCAAAAAUACUUUAUUUAUAACAAUAUAUCCAUUAUCUAUAACAUGAUCCAAAAAUAACAGAUAUACAUUUUUACUUUACAUUCCUUUGUUUUGUUUUUUUUUUAAUAAAAAGAUUUAUAUUCUCUUCCAUUUACAAAGGGAACACAGAUCUAAUUCCUUUAAAAAAUAGAACAAUCAGGUCAAAGUCGUUUCCCCUCCAGUUUGGACGCGCUGCAGUAAAGCUGAACCCCGCAGGGUCUUUGGGUGUUCUGACAAUCUUUAGUGGAACAUUCCUUGGCAUGUGUCACUCACCCUUCUCCAGAAAAGUGUAUUUCACACUGUACAUUCAAAAUUCAGGAGAAAGAUUUAAAUCCCUUAAGUAAGCAAAAACGAAGGCUACUGGUAUUUCUGUCUUUUUUAUAAAAGAGUUUAAAAACCUCCCCAGUCGCUGAAGCUGGGUGUAAGCGGCCAAGGGAUGCUUGGAGCUGGUGUGUCCCCGAGGGGACGGGUUAUUGCUGGUCUCAGACACGUUACAGACAUUACGUCGCAAAGAGGAGUGUGUUGUACCUCACACACUGCUUUUCCCAGCCCCAUAAUGAAGGGCUGUCCCUCCAGAGAGGAGCAGGGGGAUGGGGAGGCAGUUUCCAGUGUGCGGAAGAAGGGACUGACCACUGGGGAAGAUGACAAGAAUGUGAUUAGAGUAUGCAGGGAUGGAACGAGGAAAGCCAAGGCCUCCUUGGAAUUAAACCUGGCAAGGGAUGUCAAAGUUAACAAGAAGGGUUUCUUCAAGUAUAUUGGAGGCAAAAGGCAAACUAGAGAAAAUGUGGGCCUGCUGUUGAACGAGACGGGUGCCCUGGUGACAGAGGAUGCAGAGAAGGCGGAGUUACCGAAUGCUUCCUUUGCUUCAUUCUUUACUGCUCAGGCCAGCCCUUGGGAGUCCCAGACUUUGGUGGUAACAGAGAAAGUCUGGACGAAGGAAGACUUCCCCUUGGUGGAGGAGGAUCAAGCUAGAGAACAGUUAAGUAAACUGGAUAUCUGCAAGUCCAUGGGUCCUGACGGGAUGGACGCGAGAGUGCCGAGGGAGCUGGCAGAAGUCAUUGCUGGGCCGCUCUCCAUCAUGUUUGAAAGGUCCUGGAGAACAAGGAGCCCGAGGACUGGAGGAAAGCCAAUAUCACUCCAGUCUUCAAAAAGGGUAAAGAGGAAGACCAGGGAAACUACAGGCCAGGUGGCCGAGAAAAUGUGGGCCUGCUGUUGA